rnacentral:rRNA from 1 species
CGUAACAGCUCACUGGUCAAGUGGACAUGCGCCGACAAUUCACGGGGCUAAGCAUAACACCGAAGCGGCGGACUAAUCUAUAUUAGUGGUAGGGGAGCUUUCCCCGCAGCGGAGAAGCCGAGAGGGCGACCCUCGGUGGAGCGCGGGGAAGUGAGAAUGCUGGCAUGAGUAACGAGAGCGGCGCGAGAAACGCCGCCGCCGUAAGCCUAAGGGUUCCUGGGCAAGGCUAAUCCUCCCAGGGUCAGUCGGGAGCUAAGGCGAGGCCGGAAGGCGUAGCCGAUGCACAACGGGUCGAUAUUCCCGUACCGCUGACGAGCGUUUGACCGACGGGGUGACGGAGAAGGGUAGCCGGGCGGGGUUCUGGACGUCCCCGUGAAAGCGCGUAGGGAGCAUCGCAUGGAAAUCAGCGGCGCAUAUAUCCUGAGACGCGAGACGAAAGCUUAUGCUGAAGUCGGCGAGCCCAUGCUUCCGAGAAAAACCUCUAGGAAGGGACGCAGGCGCCCGUACCAAAACCGACACAGGUGGGCAGGUAGAGCAUACCGAGGCGAUCGGGAGAACCAUGGUUAAGGAACUCGGCAUACUGACUCCGUAACUUCGGGAGAAGGAGUGCCCCUGGCGGUGGAGGGACUAGCUCCCCGAGCGGCCGGGGGUCGCAGCGAAACGGCCCAAGCGACUGUUUAUCAAAAACACAGGACUCUGCAAAGCCGUAAGGCGACGUAUAGGGUCUGACGCCUGCCCGGUGCUGGAAGGUUACGCGGAUGGGUUAGCGCAAGCGAAGCUCUGAAGCCAAGCCCCAGUAAACGGCGGCCGUAACUAUAACGGUCCUAAGGUAGCGAAAUUCCUUGUCGGGUAAGUUCCGACCUGCACGAAUGGCGUAACGAUUUGGGCGCUGUCUCAACCAUGGACCCGGUGAAAUUGUAUUAUUCGUGAAGAUGCGAAUUACCUGCGGAAGGACGGAAAGACCCCGUGAACCUUUACUGCAGCUUGACAUUGGUCGUUGGCUCGGCGCGUAGAGGAUAGGCAGGAGGCUUCGAAGCGGGGACGCCAGUUCCCGUGGAGCCGGCCUUGGAAUACUGCCCUCGUCGUGUCGGCGACCUAACCUGUGGCCGUGAUCCGGCACAGGGACCGUGUCAGGCGGGUAGUUUGACUGGGGCGGUCGCCUCCCAAAACGUAACGGAGGCGCGCAAAGGUCCGCUCAGGACGGUCGGCAACCGUCCCGAGAGCGCAAGAGUGCAAGCGG